rnacentral:rRNA from 1 species
UACGUAGGGGGGCAAGCGUUGUCCGGAAUCAUUGGGCGUAAAGCGCGCGUAGGCGGCCCGGUAAGUCCGUUGUGAAAGUCAAAGGCUCAACCUUUGAACGCCGAUGGAUACUGCCGGGCUAGAGUCCGGAAGAGGCGAGUGGAAUUCCUGGUGUAGCGGUGGAAUGCGCAGAUAUCAGGAGAACACCAAUAGCGAAGGCAGCU